rnacentral:rRNA from 1 species
GAUGAACGCUAGCGGCAGGCUUAAUACAUGCAAGUCGAGGGGCAGCACAGGGUAGCGAUACCUGGGUGGCGACCGGCAAACGGGUGCGGAACACGUACAGAACCUUCCUUCGAGCGGGGAAUAGCCCAGAGAAAUUUGGAUUAAUACCCCAUAGUAUAAUGGUGUGGCAUCACAUUAUUAUUAAAGAUUUAUCACUUGAAGAUGGCUGUGCGUAUGAUUAGGUAGUUGGCGGGGUAACGGCCCACCAAGCCUACGAUCAUUAACUGGUGUGAGAGCACGACCAGUCACACGGGCACUGAGACACGGGCCCGACUCCUACGGGAGGCAGCAGUAAGGAAUAUUGGUCAAUGGACGCAAGUCUGAACCAGCCAUGCCGCGUGGAGGAUGAAGGUCCUCUGGAUUGUAAACUUCUUUUAUCUGGGACGAAAAAAGGCUUUUCUAAGUCGACUGACGGUGCCAGAUGAAUAAGCACCGGCUAACUCCGUGCCAGCCGCCGCCGUAAGAC